AUUGAACGCUGGCGGCAGGCCUAACACAUGCAAGUCGAGCGGAGCGGCGGACGGGCGAGUAAUGCCUAGGUAUCUGCCUGGCCGUGGGGGAUAACGACCGGAAACGGGCGCUAGUACCUCAUACUAUCAGACGAGCCUAGGUGGGAUUGGCUAGCUGGUGGGGUAAAGGCCUACCAAGGCGACGAUCCGUAACUGGUCUGAGUGGAUGAUCAGUCAAAAUGGGACUGAGACACGGGCCAGACUCCUACGGGAGGCAGCAGUGGGGAAUAUUGGAAAAAGGGCGAAAGCCUGAUCCAGCCAUGCCGCGGGUGUGAAGAAGGGCUUCAGAUUGUAAAGCACUUUAAGUUGGGAAGCGUUACCAACAGAAUAAGCACCGGCUAACUUCGUGCCAGCAGCCGCGGUAAUUC
rnacentral:rRNA from 1 species